CAGUCGCCGCGGGAAUACGUAGGUGGCUAGCGUUGUUCGGAAUUACUGGGCGUAAAGCGCACGUAGGCGGAUAUUUAAGUCAGGGGUGAAAUCCCAGAGCUCAACUCUGGAACUGCCUUUGAUACUGGGUAUCUUGAGUAUGGAAGAGGUUAGUGGAAUUGCGAGUGUAGAGGUGAAAUUCGUAGAUAUUCGCAGGAACACCAGUGGCGAAGGCGGCUAACUGGUCCAUAACUGACGCUGAGGUGCGAAAGCGUGGGGAGCGAACAGGAUUAGAUACCCGUGUAGUCCCUGUCUUUAUACA
rnacentral:rRNA from 1 species